rnacentral:rRNA from 1 species
UACGUAGGGGGCGAGCGUUGUCCGGAAUCAUUGGGCGUAAAGCGCGUGUAGGCGGUCCGGUAAGUCCGCUGUGAAAGUCGGGGGCUCAACCCUCGAAUGCCGGUGGAUACUGUCGGGCUAGAGUGCGGAAGAGGCGAGUGGAAUUCCUGGUGUAGCGGUGAAAUGCGCAGAUAUCAGGAAGAACACCUAUGGCGAAGGCAGCUCUCUGGGACGGUACUGACGCUGAGACGCGAAAGCGUGGGGAGCGAACAGG